rnacentral:tRNA from 1 species
UCCCCGGUAGUAUAGUGGUUAGUAUUUCCGCCUGUCACGCGGGAGACCGGGGUUCAAUUCCCCGCAGAGGAG